rnacentral:misc_RNA from 1 species
GAUGAAGAACGUAGCGAAAUGUGAUAAGUAAUGUGAAUUGCAGAAUUCAGUGAAUCAUCGAAUCUUUGAACGCACAUUGCGCCCGCCAGUAUUCUGGCGGGCAUGCCUGUCCGAGCGUCAUUUCAACCCUCGCGCCCAUCUGGGCUGCGGUGUUGGGGACCGGCCUGCCCCCCCGGGGCGCGCCGCCCCCCAAAUUCAGUGGCGGUCUCGCUGCAGCCUCCCUUGCGUAGUAGCACACCUCGCACCGGAGCGCAGCGCGGCCACGCCGUAAAACCCCCGACCCCCAUGAGUUUGACCUCGGAUCAGGUAGGAAUACCCGCUGAACUUAAGCAUAUCAAUAAGCGGAGGA